GGCCUCGAAGCUCAGUUGCUAGAGCUUUUGUUGCACUAAAGCCUUCCCCUUGCUUGCGUGGGUUCGAAUCCCACCGAGGCCG
rnacentral:tRNA from 1 species